UCAACUGACGCUAAUGCUCGAAAGUGCGGGUAUCGAACAGGAUUAGAUACCCUGGUAGUCCGCACGGUAAACGAUGGAUGCCCGCUGUUGGCGAUAUACUGUCAGCGGCCAAGCGAAAAGCGUUAAGCAUCCCACCUGGGGAGUACGCCGGCAACGGUGAAACUCAAAGGAAUUGACGAGGGCCCGCACAAGCGGAGGAACAUGUGGUUUAAUUCGAUGAUACGCGAGGAACCUUACCCGGGCUUGAACUGCAGCAGAACGAUAGAGAGAUCUUGAGGCCCUUCGGGGCUGCUGUGGAGGUGCUGCAUGGUUGUCGUCAGCUCGUGCCGUGAGGUGUCGGCUUAAGUGCCAUAACGAGCGCAACCCCUUCCGUCAGUUGCCAUCACUUUGGGUGGGCACUCUGGCGGUACUGCCACCGUAAGGUGUGAGGAAGGUGGGGAUGACGUCAAAUCAGCACGGCCCUUACGUCCGGGGCUACACACGUGUUACAAUGGGUGGUACAGAGAGUCAACCGCCGGCAACGUCGGUUUAAUCAAUAAAGCCAUCCUCAGUUCGGAUUGGGGUCUGCAACCCGACCCCAUGAAGCUGGAUUCGCUAGUAA
rnacentral:rRNA from 1 species